ACAGCGGGAAAGGAGCUUCGGCUCCGCGACGGGAUCGGUCUGCGGCCCAUCAGCUGGACGGCGGGGUAACGGCCCGCCGUGGCGAGGACGGGUAUCCGGCCUGAGAGGGCGGACGGACACAUUGGGACUGAGAUACGGCCCAGACUCCUACGGGAGGCAGCAGGUAAGAAUAUUCCGCAAUGGGGGAAACCCUGACGGAGCGACGCCGCGUGAACGAAGAAGGCCGGAAGGUUGUAAAGUUCUUUUCUGUCCGAGGAAUAAGUGUUGGAGGAAAUGCCGACACGGUGACGGUAGGGCAGGAAUAAGCACCGGCUAAUUACGUGCCAGCAGCCGCGGUAACACGUAAGGUGCGAGCGUUGUUCGGAAUUAUUGGGCGUAAAGGGCAUGCAGGCGGGUCGCCAAGCUUGGUAAGAAAUACCGGGGCUCAACUCCGGAGCUAUAUUGAGAACUGGCGAGCUAGAGUUGCCGAAGGGUAUCCGGAAUUCCGUGUGAAGGGGUGAAAUCUGUAGAUAUGCGGAAGAACACCGAUGGCGAAGGCAGGAUACCGGCGGACGACUGACGCUGAGGUGCGAAGGUGCGGGGAGCAAACAGGAUUAGAUACCCUGGUAGUCCGCACAGUCAACGAUGUACACUGGGCGUGUGCGCAAGAGCGUGCGUGCCGAAGCAAACGCGAUAAGUGUACCGCCUGGGGAGUAUGCCCGCAAGGGUGAAACUCAAAGGAAUUGACGGGGGCCCGCACAAGCGGUGGAGCAUGUGGUUUAAUUCGAUGGUACGCGAGGAACCUUACCUGGGUUUGACAUACACAGCGAUCAUAUAGAGAUAUGUGAGCGUAGCAAUACGGCUGUGAACAGGUGCUGCAUGGCUGUCGUCAGCUCGUGCCGUGAGGUGUUGGGUUAAGUCCCGCAACGAGCGCAACCCCUACUGCCGGUUACUAACAGGUAGCGCUGAGGACUCAGGCGGAACUGCCUGCGACAAGCAGGAGGAAGGCGGGGACGACGUCAAGUCAUCAUGGCCCUUAUGUCCAGGGCUACACACGUGCUACAAUGGCCGCCACAGAGCGGUGCGAAGCCGAGAGGCGGAGCAGAACGCAGAAAAGCGGUCGUAGUCCGGAUUGAAGUCUGAAACUCGACUUCAUGAAGCUGGAAUCGCUAGUAACCGCACAUCAGCACGGCGCGGUGAAUACGUUCCCGGGCCUUGUACACACCGCCCGUCACA
rnacentral:rRNA from 1 species